UGUUUAAAAACUGCUAAUAGAGUAGGUCUUAAAAGUCUUCAUCACAACUUAUAUCAGCCAGGGACAAAGUAACUCCUUGUUUACCCCAGGCUGGCUUUUGGUCUGUGCCCAUGCUGGCUUCACGCCUUAGACCCAUGG